UCGUUCAUAGCAGCCCCUGUUAUUGGAACCGUAAGAGCAGGCGUGUUGGUAACUAUUUGUUGUUUUCAUUCACAUGCAUCCUUCAUUCCCCCACUCAUCGUAAUUCUUUUUUGCUCUGAGCUAUGAGUGGCUAUUCCUAUUGGUCGUGUCCUAUUGGCUUUUUCGAAGGAGUUGGAAUAUCAAUUCCCGUUUGAAAACACGGCGGCAAGUUCUUAUCAUGCCAUGCUAAAGGUGUUAGUUUUUUGUACUUUGACACAAAUCAGUGUCAGAGACAAUAAUGUUGCACAUACGUAAUAGGGCGACAUUAGCGAUGGCAGGGUAGCUAAUUUGAAUUUGCAAACUUACAGGGGUUCUUACUUCAAUUCAAUGUGAAUUUCAAAUGUGCCGGUCCAAAUAGGAUGCUGUUGUCUUAAGUAAGUGUCAAAAAAAUGUCCCAACCUUAUGAGAACCCCUGAAAGCCUCUGUAUAGCAUUAUUGUAUAGUCUUGUAGCUUAUAGAUUGCACAAAAUUCUGGAACCGAUUAAUUUACGGGUUCUUUAUUCCAAUUGAUACUGAAUUCAAAUUAGUAAAUUGCAAUCCGACCCGCGUACUCCGCUUCAUUCAACAAGACUCCAUUCAUUACCUACAUUUCAUUAGCUCCCGACGGUAUUCAACAAUUCAAGCAAAAAUAAUACACUCGGCUGAAGUCAGAGCGAUAAUGUACAAAUUCAACCAAGUGCAGUUUGACACUGUACCUUCCUGCGUUGGGUGCAAGCCACUUUCCCCGUCUUAAAAUAUUUAGUUUUGACCUUCGUCUAUGCCUAAGGACGAAAUGUGCAUAUAAAUGUGUGUUGCUAUUAUUUUUCAAAAGCUCAUCCUUGAAGAUUCCAGUGCAGAUCACGUUCUGUUAUUUAAAAUCCUUCAAGCUGAGCUUAGAAAAUAGUGCAUUUUUGUUUGUGUUAUUAGCAUGUCCCUUUGUUCUCCUUAUUGCCGUAAGAUCUUAAUAUAUUACUUGCAGAAACAUAAGCAUUGCAGCCGAAUUGAUCUAUGUGUCUCAGUAAGACUGGAAAUGCGUGAAGCGAAUGUUGCCACAUUGUUCAAUGUCUAGCUACAAGCAUAGCUCACACACAUGCUUUACGCAAUAGGUUGCGCAACAAAUUGUGCCCCAUAAUGUGCGCGCUUAGUAUUUGUUUGGCAAGGAUGCUUCACUGUUUUAUCCAAUGUAUUGUUGGGACCCAUCUAUCUUUCUGGUAGUCUUUUAUUCUUGCAACAAAUCCUUGAUCUUCCUUAAGCUAAGCUAUAGAUUCGGAGGUCAAAAAUGAGCAAGAAGUUCGCCUUUAAAAGCCUGCGUUAGUUUAGUAGUAGCAAACAAUAAUUUGGCCGAUUGUGGCAGAACCAGACACGACAUUAUUGUGGCGAGUGGUUGAUUGCCAAGGACGCUUCAGGCAGGUUUUUUUCGAAUGGCUUUGUAAAAGGAACUGUGAUGUUCUUUAAAGUAUUUUGGUGGGAAUUUGUGUCCUGAUGCACAAUCAUGUCGUUGUUGGUUCGUGUCAUCGUCGUUUCCCAUUUAUUCAACUGUGGUGCAACAGUACUGUCAGUGCCAAGAUGAAAAGAAUGCCAGCUUUUACGGUGGUGUGGAGAAGAAUCUAACAGCAAAAUAAAGAAAAGUUGAAGAAGAAAUAGCAAACCAAACGGCAACGAUGCAAACAUACUACCCUAAACAGGAUUUUUGACCAUCGAUCGAGUAUUUAGUAUACAAGAAAGGAAAUGAGAUGUGAAUGCCCAGGUAUGAUUUCGACCCAAGCAAAGGAUGCCCAUUAGUGUUGCGGAUGUGUACUACGGCGGGACGAGACGUGUCACCUAACCUCUCGAGGCAGCCAAACGUGUGUCUGCCAUCUUUUGCUCUUCACGCUUGUCCGCGAGGAGCGGGUUGCACCGCAAGAAGCAAUACUGAUGGAUGCUAUCCUUUCUGUUUCGUGCAAACGAAAUUCUCGAAAACUAGCAGUGUAACAAUAAAUAUCGUCGUCUUGAUCUGAAAUGUACCUACUAAAUGCGAUGAUGUUGAAACGGAAUGGUCAAACACCCUGUCUAAACUAAUUCUUUUCUCUUUUCUUCAUUUUAUAUGUUAAAACGAAACCGAAACUACUACUACUCCUACCUACUACUAUUACUACUACUACUACUGCUACCGCUACUACUGCUCCGUGCGCAUUGUUGUAAUGCAUAAUGUAAACGAAAACAAAAAACGAAUCGAAUGCAAAAAACAUCCAACAUCCGCGCCCCCCUCCGCACCAUCUGCAUCUGGUUUUUGCACUCGAACGUGUUUUGUCGUCGAACAAAAACAAAACAAAAACCAACAAAAACGAAAAUAAUCGAAUCCCCAAUCCACCCUGGGGGGGACAACACAAACAAACAUAAUAAUGGGAUAAAAAUAACACAAACUUAUCAACCAAAAAAAUAAAAACCAACGUACAAAACGAAAAAAAAAACGACAAACGCGCGGUAUCGUUCCUGUGCCUUUUGGCAUGUUGCAAUACUGGAAUUGUCUGCAUAUGAAACAUAUGCAUGUGCAAACCAUAUAUAAAAAAAAAAACACAACAAAAUGCCUGAACAACCAAAUA